rnacentral:tRNA from 1 species
GGGAAUGUGGCUUAGUGGUAAAGUGCUUGCCUAGUAUGCAUGAAGCCCUGGGUUCCAUUUCUCAGUACCA